rnacentral:rRNA from 1 species
UACAGAAGGUGCGAGCGUUAUUCAUAGUUACUGGGCGUAAAGGGUAUGUAGGCGGAGCAGCAAAUUUUGUUCUAAAUCCCUGGAGUUGUAACUUCAGAAUCAGGCUUUUAGAUUACUGCUCUUCGAGUUAAUAACGGGUCGGAGGAACUUCUAGCGAAAAGGUAAAAUUUUAACAAAUUCUAGAAGGAAACACCAAAGGCAAGGCCA